CCUACGGGAGGCAGCAGCAGGGAAUAUUGUGCAAUGAGCGAAAGCUUGACACAGCGACACCGCGUGUGGGAUGACGGUUCUAGGAUUGUAAACCACUUUCAGGAGGGAAGAAAAUGACGGUACCUCCACAAGAAGACCCGGCCAACUAUGUGCCAGCAGCCGCGGUAAUACAUAGGGGUCAAGCGUUGUCCGGAUUUAUUGGGCGUAAAGAGCUCGUAGGCGGUUCAACAAGUCGGUCGUAAAAGUUUAGGGCUCAACCCUAAAAUGUCGAUCGAUACUGUUGUGACUAGGAUACGGUAGAGGUGAAUGGAAUUCCGAGUGUAGCGGUGAAAUGCGUAGAUAUUCGGAGGAACACCAAUUGCGAAGGCAGUUCACUGGACCGUGAUCGACGCUGAGGAGCGAAAGCUAGGGGAGCAAACAGGAUUAGAUACCCUGGUAGUCCUAGCUGUAAACGAUGGAUACUAGAUGUAGGAACUGGAUUGACGGUUUCUGUAUCGUAG
rnacentral:rRNA from 1 species